UAGCUGUGUUACUCUUCACGAAGAGUACACGAUUAUGACACAUGCUACAGUCUUGAAGAAUGUUGGCUCACUUCUGAGAGACCAAGAUGGAAGGUCAUACAAGCGUCGUAGAAUACAUGAAAAUGAAUACUUGAGAGCAGUUGCAUACCGUUGGGUCAUUCGAUGGCUGUGUGGAUGCCUUGGUUGGGAAAAUUCUAGACCAUUACCUGCAUGUAUCUACACAGACAUCCGAAAACGAUUUCCAUUAUGAAAUCCCCUAGGCCAAGAACAUGUUGGCUACAAGUCGUCAGCACAGGAAAGAAACUGAUAGAAGUAGGAAACAUUUUUUGUAGCAUAGUAUAUUAUUUUAUAACUAACUUUAAAGUUGGCCUGCCAAGAAUAUUUGUCAAGUAAUUCUUGUGGACAAUGACUUUUUGGAUGUCCUUUCAUUGGCUGUCCACAAUUUUUGCAUAAGCACGUUUUUUUGGAUCUGAAGGACCUGUUGAAGCAGCUUGUUUUUCUUUGUCUAAACCUUUUUUUGCAGUACAUCUUGCUGUUGAUCUAUAAAUAACAAUUUAAUGUGUUUACUUUUAGAAUGCACUGGCCAUACCUAUUAUACAUGCUAGCAUGAACAACUUACAUGUGGGAAACAAUGGUGUUGAAGAAAGUUGUUUCCUAUCCAACUGCCGUUGGAUUGCUUCAGUUUUGGAAAUUCGAUCCGAGAAAGUUUUGUUUAAGGCUUCUGGGACUUUUUCCUUAUACUUCUUAAAUAUGUUGUCCAUGGAUUCGUCACAACUAAGAACCAUGACAUUUUUGAUUUCAUUAACAUAGUCUGGAAAAAUGACAAGUGGUUAGAUGUGUAAGUCAAGAGUACCAAUGCAUACAUGCUAAACUUACAAUAUGAUGGUGCUGAAGAAACAGUUCUUACUACUUCAUCCCCUGAUUUAAAUUUUGGGAACAAGUAAAAAAGCCUUGGCAGAUAGAGAACAGUGAUUACAAGUUACCUGCAAUAUGUACCAAGCCAAGAAAAGUGGGUCAUCUUUGGAUGCCAACCAUUUAAUGUUGAAUGAAAACCUUCGUGACAACUAGUUUGUGCUUCUGAAGAUAGUUUUUUAACAUCUUUGAGAACAGAUUUUGUUCAACAGAAUUGAGGAAAGUCGCUGAUAUGAUUUAGUUCCUUAAAAAGAAUACAAUCCCAUCUGAAAAGUGAUGUUCGAAUCCACUUUGCAAUCCCUUUGUGACAAUCGCUAAUAAAUAUUGGAAUUUGUAGUCCACUAUCUUGAAGAAACUUGAAGCAUCUUUGAGCUCCAUCCAACUCCAUGGCAUUGCUACUACCAGACCGAUUUGACUAUACGAAAGGUAAUGAAGUUUAUGUAAAAACUAUAAUAUUAUUUUUGAGAUCUUGUUCAAGUAAAAUGAACUGAUUAUCUCAAAUAUACAUGAAAAUAUUUGUUUAUUAUUUGAAAAAAAUAUUAUGACUACCUGUCUGAUGUCAAAAUGAA